rnacentral:rRNA from 1 species
AUUGAACGCUGGCGGCAGGCCUAACACAUGCAAGUCGAGCGGAUGACGGGAGCUUGCUCCUUGAUUCAGCGGCGGACGGGUGAGUAAUGCCUAGGAAUCUGCCUGGUAGUGGGGGACAACGUUUCGAAAGGAACGCUAAUACCGCAUACGUCCUACGGGAGAAAGCAGGGGACCUUCGGGCCUUGCGCUAUCAGAUGAGCCUAGGUCGGAUUAGCUAGUUGGUGGGGUAAUGGCUCACCAAGGCGACGAUCCGUAACUGGUCUGAGAGGAUGAUCAGUCACACUGGAACUGGGACACGGUCCAGAAUCCUACGGGAGGCAGCAGUGGGGAAUAUUGGACAAUGGGCGAAAGCCUGAUCCAGCCAUGCCGCGUGUGUGAAGAAGGUCUUCGGAUUGUAAAGCACUUUAAGUUGGGAGGAAGGGCAGUAAGUUAAUACCUUGCUGUUUUGACGUUACCGACAGAAUAAGCACCGGCUAACUCUGUGCCAGCAGCCGCCGUAA